AAAAAAAAAAAUAGGAAUGCAUUCUAGAAUCAGAAUUCCAGAAUCAGAAUUAGAAUCAGGAUUCUGAUUCUGGAAUGCUUUGUUUUGUUAAAUCCAAACUGAUGCUGUAGUUAGAAAGGAAAUUAUGUAUCUUUCAUAUAAAAGAAAAAUGAUGCUGAUUACGCACAUGGAUGUUUUAAACUGUGAUCAUGAUGUGAUGCGUCUGCGCUCUACUAUAAUGAGGCGUCUCCAAAAAAAUGAGCGCAUGUGAAAGAAACAUGCCAAGCGGAUAGAAAAGGAAAAGCCUUUUCAUUUCAUUUCAUAAUACAUCCCGUGUGACUCGAGGAAAAAAAACGUGAUCCCCGACUGGUCUCUGUGUGCGCUUCAACUUUUCUGCACCGAUAGUACACAGUGUACAGAUCCAAAACUAAACGCGCUGCUCGUGGGAAAGUUUGGCUGAACAAUGCGCACCGGCUUUUGUGCGGACCAUCUGUCAUUGUAUCGACAUUACAAGCGGCUCCUCCUGCCUCCAAAAGAAUCCAAACGAGACACCUGAAGAGCAGAAAGCAGACAGCGAUCAUUCCCAGCCGCCACCUUGUCUCUCACCGAGCCGAGCCGUGACGCAUGUCUGUGCGUAACGUAUAUAGCCACAAAAUGAAUAGGCUGCUGGUGCAAUUAUAAUAUUUCGUGCAGCAGUGCUACAAUAAUGCAUGCAUGACUGUUUUUUGUUUUCCAAAAAAAAUGCAAGACAGGAAUUUGGGGAUAGUGCAAGAAAGCAGACCACAAGCGUGGCUGCUUUUACGCAUCCUGAAUUCUCGGAAACUGUCUGUGCGCAUCCGACUUCCUCCCGGAAUUUGGGCCUCCAGCACAUGGCAAAAAAAAAAAAACAGCCAGACUGCCAUUUUCAGGGUGGGCACUCUGAGAGGAUGCACUGACCAAAUAAACACACUUCAUCACGUUA